rnacentral:rRNA from 1 species
GACGAACCGAGCGAACGUUGUUCGGAAUCACUGGGCUUAAAGGGCGCGUAGGCGGUCUGCAAAGUCUGGGGUGAAAUCCGUCGGCUUAACCGGCGAAGUGCCUCGGAUACUGGCGGUCUCGAGGGAGGUAGGGGCGUGCGGAACUGUGGGUGGAGCGGUGAAAUGCGUUGAUAUCCACAGGAACUCCGGUGGCGAAGGCGGCACGCUGGACCUUUUCUGACGCUGAGGCGCGAAAGCCAGGGGAGCGAACGGG